rnacentral:sRNA from 1 species
AGCAGCCGCGGUAAUUCCAGCUCCAAUAGCGUAUAUUAAAGUUGUUGCAGUUAAAAAGCUCGUAGUUGAAUUUCGGGAUCAGUAUGUUGGUCGUGCUUCGGUACGUACUGUCAUUACUGGUUUCUACCUUCUGAAGAACCAUGAUGUCAUUAAUUUGGUGUCGUGGGGAAUCAGGACUGUUACUUUGAAAAAUUAGAGUGUUUAAAGCAGGCUCGCGCUUGAAUACAUUGGCAUGGAAUAAUGAAAUAGGACGUUUGAUUCUAUUUUGUUGGUUUCUAGGAUCGACGUAAUGAUUAAUAGGGAUAGUUGGGGGCAUUAGUAUUCAAUUGUCAGAGGUGAAAUUCUUGGAUUUAUUGAAAGACUAACUACUGCGAAAGCAUUUGCCAAGGAUGUUUUCAUUAAUCAAGAACGAAAGUUAGGGGAUCGAAGACGAUCAGAUACCGUCGUAGUCUUAAACCAUA